rnacentral:lncRNA from 1 species
GGUUAUUUCAGUCUUCUUGAGCUGUUCUAUUGAGGCUUGUAUAUCGUUUUCUUGUUUAGCUUCUCUUUUAGGGAUUUUAGUUUCUAAUAAACUAUCCAAUUUUUUAUUUAUUUUAGUUAUUUGAUCUUCUAGGUUUUUAUUUAAUUCUAAUAAAGCAAAAAUUAUUAGAUUGUUUUGUUUUACGCUUAUUAAGUCUGUUUUUCCUGGUGGGGUAUAAUCUGAUAAUCCUUCAGGGUUAGCUUGAAAUUGGGUUGUUUUUCUAAGAACUUCUUGGUAAAAAAGGUUGUUCAUG